CAGUAGCCACGGGAACACGGAGGGUGCAAGCGUUAUCCGGAUUUAUUGGGUUUAAAGGGUCCGUAGGCGGACUUAUAAGUCAGUGGUGAAAGCCUGUCGCUUAACGAUAGAACUGCCAUUGAUACUGUAAGUCUUGAGUAUAUUUGAGGUAGCUGGAAUAAGUAGUGUAGCGGUGAAAUGCAUAGAUAUUACUUAGAACACCAAUUGCGAAGGCAGGUUACCAAGAUAUAACUGACGCUGAGGGACGAAAGCGUGGGUAGCGAACAGGAUUAGAUACCCCCGUAGUCCCUGUCUCUUAUAC
rnacentral:rRNA from 1 species